rnacentral:rRNA from 1 species
GACGAACGCUGGCGGCGUGCUUAACACAUGCAAGUCGAACGGAAAGGCCCUGCUUUUGUGGUGUGCUCGAGUGGCGAACGGGUGAGUAACACGUGAGUAACCUGCCCUUGACUUUGGUAUAACUUCAGGAAACUGGGGCUAAUACCGGAUAGGAGCUCCUGCUGCAUGGUGGGGGUUGGAAAUUUUCGGCGGUUGGGGAUGGACUCGCGGCUUAUCAGCUUGUUGGUGGGGUAGUGGCUUCCAAAGGCUUUGACGGGUAGCCGGCCUGAGAGGGUGACCGGCAACAUGGGGACUGAGAUACGGCCCAGACUCCUACGGGAGGAAGCAGUGGGGAAUAUUGCACAAUGGGCGGAAGCCUGAUGAAGCAACGCGGCGUGCGGGAUGACGGCCUUCGGGUUGUAAACCGCUUUCGCCUGUGACGAAGCGUGAGUGACGGUAAUGGGUAAAGAAGCACCGGCUAACUACGUG